rnacentral:rRNA from 1 species
GGGCCCGCACAAGCGGUGGAGUAUGUGGUUUAAUUCGAUGCAACGCGAAGAACCUUACCAGGGUUUGACAUCCUGCGAAUCUCUUGGAAACGAGAGAGUGCCUUCGGGAACGCAGUGACAGGUGGUGCAUGGCUGUCGUCAGCUCGUGUCGUGAGAUGUUGGGUUAAGUCCCGCAACGAGCGCAACCCUUGUUUUUAGUUACCAACUUGUUGGGUUUCUAGAAAGCUGCCGGUGACAAAUCGGAGGAAGGUGAGGAUGACGUCAAGUCAGCAUGCCCCUUAUGUCCUGGGCUACACACGUGCUACAAUGGCAGAGACAAAGCGUCGCUAGCUCGCGAGAGUAAGCUAAUCGCAUAAACUCUGCCUAAGUUCAGAUUGUAGGCUGCAACUCGCCUACAUGAAGUUGGAAUCGCUAGUAAUCG